GCUAGAUUAGCAAGAAUUUAUGAGUAUGAGACGUGAGCUUACUGGACACACUCAACUGCCCCAAAAUGCAUUGCGGCUCUUCUGACUGUCCAGUGG